GACGAACGCUGGCGGCGUGCCUAAUACAUGCAAGUCGAACGCAGUGGGGACGGGUGAGUAACAUGUGGGUAACCUCCCAGCAGAGGGGAUAAAACUUGGAAACAGGUGCUAAACCGAUAUUGGUGGAUGGACCAGCGGUGCAUUAGCUGGUUGGUGAGGUAACGGCUAACCAAGGCCACGAUGCAUAGCGGAGCUGAGAGGGUGAUCGGCCACACUGGGACCGAGACACGGCCCAGACUCCUACGGGAGGCAGCAGUAGGGAAUCUUCGGCAAUGGACGAAAGUCUGACCGAGCAACGCCGCGUGAGUGAAGAAGGUUUUCGGAUCGUAAAACUCUUUUGUUAGAGAAGCGGUAUCUAACCAGAAAGCCACGGCUAACUACGUGCCAGCAGCCGCGGUAAUUC
rnacentral:rRNA from 1 species